GAUGAAGAACGCAGCGAAAUGCGAUAAGUAGUGUGAAUUGCAGAAUUCAGUGAAUCAUCGAAUCUUUGAACGCACAUUGCGCCCCUUGGUAUCCCGAGGGGCAUGCCUGUUCGAGCGUCAUUUCACCACUCAAGCCUGGCUUGGUGUUGGGCGACGUCCCCUUUGGGGACGCGCCUCGAAACGCUCGGCGGCGUGGCACCGGCUUUAAGCGUAGCAGAAUCUUUCGCUUUGGAAGUCGGGGCCCCGUCUGCCGGAAGACCUACUCGCAAGGUUGACCUCGGAUCAGGCAGGGAUACCCGUUGAACUUAAGCAUAUCAAUAAGCGGAGGA
rnacentral:misc_RNA from 1 species